CCUACGGGUGGCUGCAGUGGGGAAUAUUGGACAAUGGGCGAAAGCCUGAUCCAGCCAUGCCGCGUGUGUGAAGAAGGCCUUCGGGUUGUAAAGCACUUUCAGUGGGGAAGAAAGCCUUGGGGCUAAUACCCUCGAGGAAGGACAUCACCCACAGAAGAAGCACCGGCUAACUCCGUGCCAGCAGCCGCGGUAAUACGGAGGGUGCGAGCGUUAAUCGGAAUUACUGGGCGUAAAGCGCGCGUAGGCGGUCUGAUAAGCCGGUUGUGAAAGCCCCGGGCUCAACCAGGGAACGGCAUCCGGAACUGUCAGGCUAGAGUGCAGGAGAGGAAGGUAGAAUUCCCGGUGUAGCGGUGAAAUGCGUAGAGAUCGGGAGGAAUACCAGUGGCGAAGGCGGCCUUCUGGACUGACACUGACGCUGAGGUGCGAAAGCGUGGGUAGCAAACAGGAUUAGAUACCCGAGUAGUC
rnacentral:rRNA from 1 species